GGCCCGGUAGUGUAAUGGUAAUACACUCCAAGAAGAUCCCAAGUCUCGCUAUCCUCUGACUUGCUAGCUUGCUUACCAAAGAGUGUUUGUCUAUUGGCUGUACUCUUACUGAGCUUUGAUUGCUUGCUAGUAGCUACCUACUAUCUGACUGGCUACUGGUUGUUUGCUCCUGGCUGUUUGCUAGGGUUCUGCCACCUUACUGGAUACUAGCUGAGGAUGGAAAUUCUGGAGAGUUGCAGGUUCGAAUCCUGCCUGGGCUA